GAAUUUUGCGCAAUGGGGGCAACCCUGACGCAGCGACGCCGCGUGGGUGAUGAAGGCCUUCGGGUUGUAAAGCCCUGUCUGGGGGGAAGAUAGUGACGGUACCCCCGGAGGAAGCCCCGGCUAACUACGUGCCAGCAGCCGCGGUAAUACGUAGGGGGCGAGCGUUGUCCGGAAUUAUUGGGCGUAAAGGGCGUGUAGGCGGCCUGGCAAGUCGGCUGUGAAAUCCCCCGGCUCAACCGGGGAGUGGCAGUCGAAACUGUUGGGCUUGAGUGCAGGAGAGGAGGGUGGAAUUCCUGGUGUAGCGGUGAAAUGCGUAGAUAUCAGGAGGAACACCGGUGGCGAAGGCGACCUUCUGGCCUGUUACUGACGCUGAGGCGCGAAAGCCAGGGGAGCGAACA
rnacentral:rRNA from 1 species